AUUGAACGCUGGCGGCAUGCCUUACACAUGCAAGUCGAACGGCAGCACGGGUGCUUGCACCUGGUGGCGAGUGGCGAACGGGUGAGUAAUACAUCGGAGCGUACCUUAUCGUGAGGGAUAACGCAGCGAAAGUUGCGCUAAUACCGCAUACGCCCUGAGGGGGAAAGCGGGGGACCGUAAGGCCUCGCGCGAUGAGAGCGGCCGAUGUCUGAUUAGCUUGUUGGUGAGGUAAAAGCUCACCAAGGCGAUGACCAGUAGCUGGUCUGAGAGGACGAUCAGCCACACUGGGACUGAGACACGGCCCAGACUCCUACGGGAGGCAGCAGUGGGGAAUUUUGGACAAUGGGGGCAACCCUGAUCCAGCAAUGCCGCGUGAGUGAAGAAGGCCUUCGGGUUGUAAAGCUCUUUUGUCAGGGAAGAAACAGCAGCUCUAACACAGUCUGCGAAUGACGGUACCUGAAGAAUAAGCACCGGCUAACUACGUGCCAGCCGCCGCCGUAA
rnacentral:rRNA from 1 species